rnacentral:SRP_RNA from 1 species
GUUGGGCUUGGUAGCGUGAGCCUGUAACCCAAGUGGGAGCAAUAAGUUUGUGGGAUAAUUAGGCUUACCUUGAUGGCUGGGCUUGGGGCUGUUCUAAGUGGUGAGUUGGGCUGUGGAGUCUUUGCGAAGGCAGAGGCUUCUUGGCCCUUAGAUUGGAGGGCACUGCGUUAUGCUGGUUUCACAGAGCAGCGAACACUUCCUCCUCUCUGCAGUGGAAGGAUAAUGAGCCGGAGCAUCCAAAGUCGGGACGUUAUGCUAUGGAACCGUGUUC